rnacentral:rRNA from 1 species
UACGGGGGGAGCAAGCGUUGUUCGGAAUUACUGGGCGUAAAGGGCUCGUAGGCGGCCAACUAAGUCCGACGUGAAAUCCCCAGGCUUAACCUGGGAACUGCGUCGGAUACUGGAUGGCUUGAAUCCGGGAGAGGGAUGCGGAAUUCCAGGUGUAGCGGUGAAAUGCGUAGAUAUCUGGAGGAACACCGGUGGCGAAGGCGGCAUCCUGGACCGGCAUUGACGCUGAGGAGCGAAAGCCAGGGGAGCAAACGGG